CGAUAUUUAGUCCAUGUCCUCAAUAUAUCCCCGAUUUCCUGCUAUCCGACAUGAAUUUCAGCUGUCCGACAUGAACCCGACAUCCGACAUUUAAAACCUUGUGUUCUCUUGCAGUGAAAGUCACAAUGUUGAAAUGGUGCUGAUUUUUACCGAACAAUGAAUUAAAUCACACUUCUAUAAGGGUGAGAGUUAUACCCUAGAAAAUUAGCAAGUCUAAUGGAGUCUCAAAAGCGACCACACGUAAAGACUAGCUGGUGGCCUCUAAAUGCAUCUGCAAACAUGACCCGGGUCCUAAGAUAGCCGACCUGCCUCACGAACCAAAUCCGAGAUGCAAGGCGUGACCGACCAGUGAUCUGUUAGAUGCCUGGCCCGAGAUAAAACACGUUCGCCACUUGGUCCUAGCAAUGAACGUCUUGAACAGUGGGAUAGCUUGCCAAACAUUGUUAGGGGUCACAUCGCAUUUAAUGCAUGAACAGUUCGGGCCUGCACUUAGCCGUCCAGUCGCCAUCAAUAUUAAUGCAGCGUUAGAGUUAUCAUGACCUUUCGAGCCAGAGCCUUCAAAGCUCCUCGAACACGCUAUUAUUUCCAAUAGUCCCUUCAUUGUUGUGAGGAUGCCCUGAACAAUCGACUGCUAACGCGUGUAGAGCAUGAUCUAGCCCAUCACUGCAUGGACCCGGCCAAAUUACCAACUUGUCCCCAUAAACUCUCCAUUGAUAGCGGCAACUUCUCUCUCCCAAGGUACGCGAUUCUCCCUAGAAGCAAGUCAACAAGGCUAUGCUCUAUUUCUCUCUGUAGAUGGAUAAGAUCGGCCACUGACUUGAGCGUCGGAGGGCACGUCGGAGGAAACAACCUUCAGGGCCUUUAACCUUAUAUAUGUAGAGAAUUACAGCCCAAUAUUUUGAACAGGAGAGUCUACCAUCAAAGGGGGUUAAGGAACCCUCAAAUCAAUCUCACCUCCACUAAGCCACACCCUAAUUUCCCUUCAUAAACAAUGAGUUAUGUUGGUCUUUGGCUUUUGAAAUCAGACUGACGUUUCCAACUUUCCAUUAUGCUAGUUCAGUUCUUAUAACAUUUUUAUCUCUUUUAAGUGCUCCUGCCAAUGUUUUUUGCUUCUAAAUAUGCGCAUCCAAACCAAGUCCUCUGUAAAAAAGUUUAUCUAAUCCUAGGAAGUUUAUGAUAAUAUCUGUUGUGCAUAUAUGAUUGAUUGAUGAAAAUUCUGUAGUGUGAAAAUUUUGUAGCUGUUGUAUUCUAUGUCAAUGUGUUUUACAGGUUGACCAAUCUUGUAAUUUGUGUUGGCCCUUUUGUGCCUAUCUUGUGCUGAUUCUUUCAUGUGUGUUAAAAUAUUAAAAUAUAAUCUUCAAUCAUCACCAUAACUUUGGAGUUUAGUGUAAUUGGUUAGAGGGAUAUUAAGAUGGUAUCAGAGCAACCAAUGUUCGAAUCUCACUGACCACAAAUUUUAUGCGGAUUUAAAAAAAUUAAUACCGCUGCAUGAGACUAGGUUUCAGCCCAUUAAGUGCCAGUUUGACAUUGCUUUUUUGAGGGUGCUUUUGCUUAUGUUUUUAAGAAGCACCCAAUAAUGAUGUUUGGUGAUAUUUUUUAGCAUGCUUAUUAAAACUGUUUGUGUUUUUAAGGGAGUGCUUUUACAAGCAAUUUGAGGAUGCUUCUAAAUGCAACUUCUGCUUUUUUUGACUUUAUACACCAUAUAUACCUUUUAUAUUUUAAGAAUGAUAAUUAAGCACAGUUCUACAAAACAUUUUAACUGCUUUUUUAAGUAUUUUUUUGAUAUUUGAUUACCAAACUGCUAUUGUGAACAUCUUAUAUAAGUUAUUUCUAUAAGCUACUUUUAUAAGCAACUUAUUAUAUGCUCCGGCAAUACCAGACUAGCCUUAAAAGGGCGCUCAACUUGCAGGUGCAUAGUAGAAUAUAAAAAUAUAAUUCUCAACCCUCACCAUAACUUUGAAUUUUUGGUGUAAUGGUUAGAGGGACUUAAUAUAAGAUAGUAUCAGAGAAAACCAAGUUCAAAUCCCACCGGCCACAAAUUUAAAGUGGUUUUUAAAAAAAAUGAUGCCACUAUGUAAGUCUCAAUCUGUAGGAGCAUGUUAGAAUAUUAAAGUAUAAUCCUUGAUAUUUUAAUACUUUAUUCCUGAGAGCCUAAAUCUUUGCGGUUUAAGUUGUUGCAGGCGAAUUCAAUCUAUGGCAUCUAGUGCAAAUCAUAUCUCACUUUUCUUUGUUAAUGAUACAAAAGCCAAGAUGCAGAUCUUAAUCAGGGUACAAAGUUAUGCAUUUUCAGGGGUUAGAACAGACACUGCACAAGUUGAAGGAGGGGUUCAUGGAUUAGUGUUAUACGACAAAACACCAUUCUGAGGACUCCGAGAGAGAGCAUAUUUCUUGAAAUCACAACGGCGAUCAUGGAAAAUAUGCCAGUUUGGUGAAAACCAAGCUAAUAUGUGGACCUUUUGAGACUGAGUAUCCAAUGUGGACUUGUGGGUUUAUUGUUUCGAUUUAUUUAUUAAAUUAAAUCGAUUAAGUUACAGCUAUAUUGAUUUCCUUCCCUCUGAGCUGUGUACCUAGAGAGCUUUAUAAUGUGGGGUAAAAUUUAUGCUUAUUCAUUGCGUCACAGAUCAGUGGCUCAAAUCUCAUUAGAUAAUUAAUUUCCGAUUAAUUACAAUUUCUAUUCUCUGUUUUUUCUGAAUUUUUACAGGAUGGCAUAUUCAUGGAUAGAAAUCUGGAAAAUUUCAAUCUGCCUCCUGCGUUCACUCACUCUCAAUGGUGUUCUAGUUAGCAUGCUCUUCUUUUUACUAAGAAAGAGCGCAGCUCAGAUGCAUGCUCAUGAAUUUUAUAUUCUCUCCACUUACAAAGCAUUGCAUUGUUUGAGACGAAUUCAACAAUGUAAGUCUCACAUCUGAAACCUGAAUGUGACCCUGUUUAUUCACUUGAUAUGCUUACAUAAUGUUUAAUGAAGUUAGGCUUGGCUUGUUGCGUUUACUUAGAUACUAUACCCGUGAUUUCUUGUAGGGUUUUGAUAACACUAGAAAUAAUUUUAUUUGUGUUUUCAUUUUCCAAGGAUGUAUAUAGGAGAUUAUUGGAAACUUCAGAGUUAGCAUGCAGAACUAUUUUCACUGCAUAAGAUUUGAGCAAACGCUCGUGUGCAAUGUUUGCAAUGAGGGAUACAGUUUACGGAUCGACUGUCAAAAGAGGAAUCAAAAUAGGAGUUGAGAUUGCCUAUACACCAACAUCUAAAAAGCCAACGCCAAAACCACAUGAUGGAUGAAAUUUAUAGAUUGACUAUCAAAAGAGUUGAGACGCGUAUAUACCAACAUCUUAAAAGCCAAUGCCAAAACCACCGCCAUGCCUGUGGCACCCUGUGAAAAAUAGAUCAAAUAAGAAUGCCCCACAUGCGAGCAAAGUGUUCUGAGCCAUAACUAUAAAGAGAUGGUGGAAAACUCUAGAUUUCUCCCUCUUUAUGGUUCAUAACACUUCACUCUCACGCAGUCUUCUGAUAGAAUUUGUACUCACCAUCGUGGGCCUCCACCGACGCCACAACAUGACUGGCACCAUAAGCUCCGGCCUCUGAAGUUUAGAGGGCUCUUGGAGAAGAACAUAUUGUCAGAUUUAAAGAGGACUAGGUGACAAAGUAUGACAAUUGUUCACUGGUAGUAGCUAUUGUUGGGUGCGGUAUGAAGGUAAGGGAUGAUGGGUAUUUAUAGGGUUUGGGAAUGAGAUUGUGGGCCCAAAUAGUGCAGGUCCAAAUAGUGCACUGGACUGUUGAAGGGCACAUGGUGUGAGUGGUCCAGAGCUCCCAACAUUCUCUAGUGUUGUAGAUGUUGCGAUUCUUCUGGCCUCCACAAUCUACAUCUCACAUGCUAACUAUUCAUCUUAGGCCUGAUAUGUAUUCUAUAUGAUCAAAAGUUAUCAAAUGGCUAUGUAAUCAUGACACAUGUUGUGACUGAUAUGCAUAGCAAAUCCCACAACUGUUGAUCUUAUUACUAGAUAAGUUUCACUCACAUACAUACUUCUACUAUUUGUAGAAUUACAUAUGAGAAACGAGCAAAAUUAUAUUGAAAAAAGAUGAGUUCUGCCCCGCGUUUGUUAUUCUCAUGACUCUCAUGACCUGUCAUGAGCGUGUUUGGUGAAUGUAGGAUAUGUAGCUUAUCGUCAGGGAAAAGUUGGUAGUAAAGGAAUAAUCUCAAUGCCUCAAAUUUCACGGAUAUAUUCCUUUAGU